CCCUUAGAUGUUCUGGGCCGCACGCGCGCUACACUGUUCGACGCAGCGAGUCUUAACCUUGACCGAAAGGUUUGGGUAAUCUUCAGCAAAGUCGAACGUGAUGGGGAUCGAUCAUUGCAAUUAUUGAUCGUGAACGAGGAAUUCCUGGUAAGUGCAAGUCAUCAGCUUGCGCUGAUUACGUCCCUGCCCUUUGUACACACCGCCCGUCGCUACUACCGAUUGAAUGGUUUAGUGAGAUCUCUGGAUUGACGCUGGCUAGGGGGCGACCCUUGGCCAGACUGCUCGAGAAACUGCUCAAACUUGAUCAUUUAGAGGAAGUAAAAGUCGUAACA
rnacentral:rRNA from 1 species